UGAACUCUAAGAGAUAGUUUUAGGCAGUC
rnacentral:piRNA from 1 species